GAUGAACGCUGGCGGCGUGCCUAAUACAUGCAAGCCGAGCGAACAGACGAGGAGCUUGCUCCUCUGACGUUAGCGGCGGACGGGUGAGUAACACGUGGAUAACCUACCUAUAAGACUGGGAUAACUUCGGGAAACCGGAGCUAAUACCGGAUAAUAUAUUGAACCGCAUGGUUCAAUAGUGAAAGACGGUUUUGCUGUCACUUAUAGAUGGAUCCGCGCCGCAUUAGCUAGUUGGUAAGGUAACGGCUUACCAAGGCGACGAUGCGUAGCCGACCUGAGAGGGUGAUCGGCCACACUGGAACUGAGACACGGUCCAGACUCCUACGGGAGGCAGCAGUAGGGAAUCUUCCGCAAUGGGCGAAAGCCUGACGGAGCAACGCCGCGUGAGUGAUGAAGGUCUUCGGAUCGUAAAACUCUGUUAUUAGGGAAGAACAAAUGUGUAAGUAACUAUGCACGUCUUGACGGUACCUAAGCAGAAAGCCACGGCUAACUACGU
rnacentral:rRNA from 1 species